rnacentral:rRNA from 1 species
AGUGAACGCUGGCGGUAGGCCUAACACAUGCAAGUCGAACGGCAGCACAGUAAGAGCUUGCUCUUACGGGUGGCGAGUGGCGGACGGGUGAGGAAUACAUCGGAAUCUACUUUUUCGUGGGGGAUAACGUAGGGAAACUUACGCUAAUACCGCAUACGACCUACGGGUGAAAGCAGGGGAUCUUCGGACCUUGCGCGAUUGAAUGAGCCGAUGUCGGAUUAGCUAGUUGGCGGGGUAAAGGCCCACCAAGGCGACGAUCCGUAGCUGGCCUGAGAGGAUGAUCGGCCACACUGGAACUGAGACACGGUCCAGACUCCUACGGGAGGCAGCAGUGGGGAAUAUUGGACAAUGGGCGCAAGCCUGAUCCAGCCAUACCGCGUGAGUGAAGAAGGCCUUCGGGUUGUAAAGCCCUUUUGUUGGGAAAGAAAAGCAGCAGGUUAAUACCCCGCUGUUCUGACGGUACCCAAAGAAUAAGCACCGGCUAACUUCGUG